rnacentral:pre_miRNA from 1 species
UUUGAGAUGAAAUAGUUUAUGUUUGGAUACACUUGUUUAAAAGUGAUUGUGAUGAGUUAAUGUUGUUUGGAUAG